rnacentral:lncRNA from 1 species
AGAAUGUUCUGGACAUAUUUAAAAAUGGCUACUUUCUCCCUCCCUGUGUCAGAAGCAUGAAGAGAUUUUCUUCCUACACUCACGAUGAGAACCUGGUGGAGCUCCUAAAGAUUGGCUCUCCUGAUGGUUGCACGAUGGCUGCAGCAGUUCCAGAUGUCCCAUCGAGACACAAAAAGAUCCCAGAUGGAAGAUGCCAUCUCCUCCUAUGUGCCUCUUUUUAAGAGUUACACAGGAGUGAGGAGGACCACCAAACCAAACUAAGACUCGGAGGAAAAAAAAAAAAGAAAAAGAAGAAAAUGUCUGCUAGGUGCCAUGCCACUCAAACAGCCAAUGGAAAGGCCCACGUGGCGAGAGCUAAGGCUUCCUGCCAACAGGCAAGUGAGGAAGCCCAGUCAGCUGCCUGCAGUCCUGACCCAUGAAGAGCCUGACUGAAAGUGAAUGAGCAACCCUGAGCUAGGACAACCCAGCAAGGCCCAUCCUGAAUUCCUGCCCACAAAAACUCUGAGACAGUAAAUGUUCGUUGUUUUAAACCACAAAGUUUUGAAGUAAUAGAUUAAUUAGGUAACCAAUUGGGACUGCAGUAUUCCUUCAGGGAACUUGAAUAGUCAUUCUGUAUAUGGAAAUUGUACACAUCUUAAAAUUGCUGGACUAAAGUGAGAAGAGACUGUCUUGAGUCAACUGGAUAAAGUGGAAAAAAAAUUAAUUUGGAAAUCAAUAGAAUUCUGGCCUUGGCUUUGUCACUAAGAAACACUUAUAAGUAAUUUCACUUCUCUUGAAAUUAUGAUCAUUAUCUAUAACAUAAAGGAACUGAGCUAAAUGUUAUCUGAUGCCUCUUUAGGCUCUCAAACUCCAUAGAUUUAUGACAUGCUUGAAAUUCACUUUGUUUCACCCUAAUUCAGAGCUUUGUUUCACUAGCUCUAGAAUUAGAUGCCUUGGGUUUAAAUUGCAAUUCAGUCACUUAUUUAAAUAAUUGUACUUGGAUGAGUGAUGUUGCCAUUUUAAGCCUCAGUUUCCCCAUAGAUUCAUUGAGAAGAUCAAAUAAGAUGAUGCAGAUAAAGCUCUUAGUUUGUGGGGACACUUAGUAAGUGCUUAAUAAAUACAGGCAGUUGUGUUAUCUAUGUUGUAGCAGCACAUUUUGUAAAAUAAAACAAAGUUGAAAUCACA